rnacentral:rRNA from 1 species
CCUACGGGAGGCAGCAGUGGGGAAUAUUGCACAAUGGGGGAAACCCUGAUGCAGCGACGCCGCGUGAGUGAAGAAGCGUUUCGGCGCGUAAAGCUCUGUCAGCGGGGAAGAAACACGGUUCGCGAGAGUCGCGGACGGUACCCGACCAAGAAGCCCCGGCUAACUACGUGCCAGCAGCCGCGGUAAUACGUAGGGGGCAAGCGUUAUCCGGAUUUAUUGGGUUUAAAGGGUGCGUAGGCGGACGCUUAAGUCAGCGGUAAAAUUGCGGGGCUCAACCUCGUCGAGCCGUUGAAACUGGGUGCCUUGAGUGGGCGAGAAGUACGCGGAAUGCGUGGUGUAGCGGUGAAAUGCAUAGAUAUCACGCAGAACUCCGAUUGCGAAGGCAGCGUACCGGCGCCCAACUGACGCUGAAGCACGAAGGCGUGGGUAUCGAACAGGAUUAGAUACCCUUGUAGUC